ensembl:snRNA U4 U4 spliceosomal RNA
AUCUCUGCGCAGUGGCAGUAUCGUAGCCUAUGAGGUUUAUCCGAGGCGUGAUUAUUGCUAGUUGAAAACUUUACCCAAUACCCCGCCUAGACGACUUGAAAUAUAGUCGGCGACGGCAAUUUUUGACGGUCUCUAUGGAGA